rnacentral:rRNA from 1 species
GACGAACGCUGGCGGCGUGCUUAACACAUGCAAGUCGAACGGUAAGGCCCUUUCGGGGGUACACGAGUGGCGAACGGGUGAGUAACACGUGGGUGAUCUGCCCUGCACUUUGGGAUAAGCCUGGGAAACUGGGUCUAAUACCGGAUAGGACUACGCGAUGCAUGUCGUGUGGUGGAAAGCUUUUGCGGUGUGGGAUGGGCCCGCGGCCUAUCAGCUUGUUGGUGGGGUGAUGGCCUACCAAGGCGACGACGGGUAGCCGGCCUGAGAGGGUGUCCGGCCACACUGGGACUGAGAUACGACCCAGACUCCUACGGGAGGCAGCAGUGGGGAAUAUUGCACAAUGGGCGCAAGCCUGAUGCAGCGACGCCGCGUGGGGGAUGACGGCCUUCGGGUUGUAAACCCCUUUCAGCACAGACGAAGCGUAAGUGACGUUAUGUGCAGAAGAAGCACCGGCCAACUACGUG